rnacentral:tRNA from 1 species
GGAGAGAUGGCCGAGUGGCUUAAGGCGGCGGUCUUGAAAACCGCAGGUCCUAUCGGGACCCUAGAGUUCGAAUCUCUAUCUCUCCGCCA